CAAAUAUUAUGCUAGCUUAGAAGCAUAAGUAUAACAUAAUAGAUUUGAGCUCUUAUUAAUGAACGUUUGGGCUUUUAAUCACAUCUUAUGUGUAAAGGAGCGGUUUUGAUAGCUUUGUAAACGUUUUCGAUGAUAAUAUGUCAAAAGAUAAAUGGAAGUAAGCUAAUUAAUUAAAACUAAAAGUCUGCACUGUAGAGUCUAUCAGUGACGUCACUCGCGGUCUAAAUUUGACUGACACUAUUUCAAACCAGUGUUUCAAACACGUUUUGAUUUUUCAUUGUAAACAAAUAUUGAUUAAAAUUGUACUGUGAUUUCAGGAGUGUCUUAAAAACCCUCUAAAACAGAGGGGAAGUUCCAAGAAAAUUUCUAAUGGGAGCUGCUGACAGAGAUCGAAAACACAGUUUGUUUAUUUCUAAUAAGGAGCUGGAGGCUGUAGACAAGCAGAUCCGUGACCUCGUGGAGAAGCAGGCCCAGCUGAGAGAGUGGAGAGCUGUGCUGGAAACAUUCAUGGGUUGACGCUCAUAAGUCCAGGUGUAAGACAUGAGCCAGGACCUGGGCGAUGACCUCUCUCCUUCCAACGCCUCCGGUCUUCAGGAUCUCCACCUGCAGGAGCUCCACUGCA